rnacentral:rRNA from 1 species
UUGAACGCUGGCGGCAGGCCUAACACAUGCAAGUCGAGCGGAAGAAGGGAGCUUGCUCCUGGAUUCAGCGGCGGACGGGCGAGUAAUGCCUAGGAAUCUGCCUGGCAGUGGGGGAUAACGUCCGGAAACGGGCGCUAAUACCGCAUACGUCCUGAGGGAGAAAGUGGGGGAUCUUCGGACCUCACGCUCUCAGAUGAGCCUAGGUCGGAUUAGCUAGUUGGUGGGGUAAAGGCCUACCAAGGCGACGAUCCGUAACUGGUCUGAGAGGAUGAUCAGUCACACUGGAACUGAGACACGGUCCAGACUCCUACGGGAGGCAGCAGUGGGGAAUAUUGGACAAUGGGCGAAAGCCUGAUCCAGCCAUGCCGCGUGUGUGAAGAAGGUCUUCGGAUUGUAAAGCACUUUUGGUGGGGAGGAAAAGCAGUAGGUUAAUACCUUGCUGUUUUGACGUUACCAACAGAAUAAGCACCGGCUAACUUCGUG